UGAAGCGGGUAACAUUUUUCUCGCUGUGCUCGAAGCAUCGUUCACAGUGACUGCGAUAACGCACGCUACUCUACGUGUGGUAUACUCAUUCAACAGUGCGUCAGAUUCCAAACAUCUUGCAUGCUGAAGUAAACCACGACUGUUCGUGUCAUCAAAGGCAGCGCAGUUGGAUUACGCCUCUUCGCCUCGCCGUUUCGGUGACAGGCACAGUCGCUGGUGUCAACGACCAUUCGCCGUUCCUGGAUCCAGUUCCGUUGAAAGCCGCGGAGGGUGUCAGCUGCUGCGAGAAGGCUCCGUCGGUCGAGUGAGCUGGGCAACCCCGUUCCAGAUUUUUCGCCGCGGCUUCGGCAACGAGGUCCAGCCUGCGCAGCAAAGAACCGCAAAGUGACGACGACAAUCAGCACGAAAGCGGUGACACCUCCAGGAUUACAAUGGUACACCAGCCCCCCAGACCAUGUGUGUAGCGGCAGCCCGAAUAAGCCAGGAAACGCACAGCGCCAACGUGGCCGACGAUCGAUGCGACGUAGUGUGGCGAUCUUCCGAAAGGCGGCAGCACGUCCCAGUGAGCUGCAAAUCGAUUUUCUCUCGCGCCUGAAAAUGGCUGCCGCUCUGGAACAAACUCGGCGGCGGGUGACAAGGCAUGGC
rnacentral:misc_RNA from 1 species